rnacentral:lncRNA from 1 species
AUGGAGCCUCGCAUGGAGUCCUGCCUGGCGCAGGUGUUGCAGAAGGAUGUGGGGAAACGAUUGCAGGUUGGCCAAGAACUGAUAGACUAUUUCUCAGACAAACAGAAGUCUGCUGACCUUGAGCAUGACCAGACCAUGUUAGAUAAACUUGUGGAUGGACUUGCUACCUCUUGGGUGAACUCUAGCAAUUACAAGGUAAGCUGUGCUUUAGAAGG